AUCACCAUGAAGUUAACUGUAUUCAAGAGCAAGCCUUCAAGUUUCCCUAGCCAUAAAGAAUUCCAGAAUGCUAUGGCAGACUUGCUGAAUUAUCCUCCUCCUCAUCACUUGCAUUCAGCAGCUUUGGUGACCAGCUACAUUGUUUGGCAGCGGGCUAAAGGGAUCACAAUUGCACUGAGCAAGGAGCAUGCUGAACAGUGAUGUUCCAGUUUAAAAGGACAGAGCUGCAAACAAAGGGAUUGCUGGCCAUUCCUGACAAGUGGUGACCCCGAUGUGAUCAUCUUGCCACAGACCACUGAAUGGACCACCUGAAAAUGAAAAGUUUGGGCACAGAGUACAGCAAGGUGGAAAGCACUGAAUUAGGAAUUCCAGGAGCUGAGUUGUAGACCCCCUCCUUCGUU